CAAACUCCCAGAACAACUCAGACACGGGUAACAAAAGCUGCAGGAUUAACAGAUAUAUAAGCUCAUAAACGUAACUCAUGAGGAGCAAUUUGAUCUUUGUGGCUAUCCUGGGGAUAGCAUGCAUGAUGAUUGGAGUCAAUGGGAACAGUACAACGAGCAGUAGCAACUCCAUAGGCAGCUGGAUAUCUUCUAACAUGACCACCAACCUGAACCAAACACAGCCUCCCAACAUAACCUCCAACUCGACCCAAACACAGCCUCCCAACAUAACCAACUUGAUCCAGACGCACCCUCCCAACAUCACCACAAACCUGACCCAGUCAGGCCCAAACACCACUGCAUCUAAUUCCACUGCACCACUGAACACCACUGCACCCUCAAACGCCGCUGCAUCUAAUGUCACUGCAGCAUUAAACACCACUGUAUCUACUGCGUCUGGAGUAUCUACAGAUAAUAAUGGUGCAGCAAAUGUCACCAAAGACAACUGUAAGAAGGACAGGGCAUGUUUCUCCACUCCAGCCAACUGUGAUCCAUCCAGCUCAAAUAGCUGCUUUUUUGCCUCCACAAGAGGGGUGAACGGAGACUCCAACAAUCUCACUUUUGAGCUCAGCGGGGAUCCAAAUGGUUACAUUGCAGUUGGCCUGUCUCGAGACAAGAAGGAGGGUGAUAAUGACACCGUCUAUUCUUGUGCCAACGACAAUGGUGUGGCGAAGUUCAUCCGUGCCACACUGAAUAAUACCAUUCUGACUCCGGAUAAUACUGUAAGACUCCCUUUUACAGAGCAUUUUCUUUAUUGCCAAGCUAUGCACAAAAGAUUAUUGACUAUACAUUAUGUGGUAAUGAACAGCAAUGGGGACGGCUUUAAAGAACAAAGCAUUCUGAGACAAC
rnacentral:lncRNA from 1 species